UUGACGCCAAAAAAACGACAACUGAAAAUAUUCGUGUCAGUACCCCUUUAAGUGCAUGAUAUGAUAGGUGGUAAACAGUGGUUCAGAGUGCAUUCUGUAAGGCACGUCAGCAAUCGCUCUAAGCGCAUUUUUCUGCAUUGAAAUUAGUUUACUAAUAUUUGUUUUUGUUGAACUUCCCCAUACCAAUAUGCAGUAUUUUAACAGUGAUUCAAACAGCCUUUUUCUGGCAAUAGAUGCUGGAAUUUUUUCAAAACGCCAACUACACGUGCAAGCUUACUUUGAAGAUGUUCUGUGUGACUAUCCCAUAGCAUGAAUUCACUAAAGUAGACUCCAAGCAUUCUGUGUUAGUAAUUUCUAUGGCAUUCCCUCCUAAGACCAUGUCCCGCAUUCAUCAAGGCAGGCAAUAAAAAAGCACAAAGGUUGGAGGUUUAGGCUGCUGGAAAAAUUGCUUUCACUGGUGGAUCUGAUGAUGGUCCUCAUUUCUGUGGCUGGCACAUGAAGA
rnacentral:lncRNA from 1 species